CCAACAGUUAUGAUGGAAAGGAACUCUGAAGGUAGGAGGAGCUGCAAAGUCCAGAGGAGACAAGGGGCAUGGAAAUAAUAAUAAUAAUAAUAAUAAUAAUAAUAAUAAUAAUAACUAGCGUCACCUGUCACUGGUGCAUGUGGCUUGGUUCCCUUGCUUGACUUGUCCACAGAUGUUGACAGCUUGGCAGGUCCUCAGCUGUGGUCCCCAGAUUAUAGUUUCUGUUGUGAAUAUCUGGCUGGUUACAAGGUUGAACCAUAUGACCUUUCCAUGCCUCUAUUCUCUUAACUCUAAGGCUGUGUAAACAUCACACCUUGAAAUCACAGGGUCAUUCCAUUAAAAUGUCAACCUACAGGCUCAUCGUUCCUAAACAUGUUGUAGAUCAUUUUAAAGAGAACUUCCCAAAGUUUCAGGAUCAUGUCACUGUGUGUGGUGGGUUUUAACAGGAAGGAGAGCACAGUGGUACCUUGGUUUUAGAACAGCUUAGUUUAUGAACAACUUGGAAAUAGAACGCUGCAAACCCGGAAGUAGGUGUCCCUUUUUGUGAGCUUUGCCUUGUUCAGCUUCCUGUCGAAUAUAUUCAUUUGUAAAUUGAGUCCCCCACUGCUAAUCAGAGGCUGAGUCCUGAGUCCCAAGCACCCAGGCAACACAGAGGUGAUAUUUGGAGCUUUUGUUUUUGCUAUUUGUUUUUGCUAUUUGUUUGUGUGGCUUUUUCGUUUUUGUGACUGUGACUUGUGACUUUGUUUUUGUGACUUGUUUUUGUGACUGUGUGGAACCCAGUUCAGCUGCUGAUUGAUGGUGUGACUGCAGAAAUGGAUUAAAAAAAAACACACCAUCCAAACAAUGACUAUCAUCAGUGCACGUAAGAAAAAAAUUGAAUAUGAACACAUAUUCAGCAUGCAUGUCCAGUCUCUGACAUCUACAGACAUGGCUGGGAGGAGUCUGAAAGCCUGGGGAAAGCCUGUCUCUCAGGACAGCCCAGACUAAGCUCAGUGCAACAUGAACCGACUCAGGAUAAUGCAGCUUCCUAGCUCCCCCCCAAAAUGAUACCACACAUCCAUUUCCAUCACAUAUUCUUAUUGCAGUCCCAUCACAGAUGGAACUACACCAGAAGGGUAAUAAUAAUAAUAAUAAUAAUAAUAAUAAUAAUAAUAAUAAUUUAUUAUUUAUACCCCGCCCAUUUGGCUGGGCUUCCCCAGCCACUCUGGGCGGCUUUCAACAAAAUAUUAAAAUACCGUAAUGCAUCAAACAUUAAAAGCUUCCCUAAACAGGGCUGCCAUAUUAAACUAAGCACUCCUUCAUAAUUAGCAAUUUCCUACCUGAUAAGCAUGCUUUGUGUGCAGAAAAAUGCAUAGAUAGUAACAUCCAGAUCCAACCUAGCAUGGACAUAUACGCCCUAGAGCAAGAGGGGGGUGUAAUCAGAUGAACAACAGAUACCACUUUUAACUACCUCCAAACAGCCACAAAGAUUGCUAUCAUUCACCAACAACCACCCGCAGGUACACUCAACUUUUAAUUUAAAAGGCCAAAACUCUGUAGUUAGGACAACAGUGCCUGAAAGGGUACGCUGAGCUGUUCUUUUUGUGACUACGGACAGUAAUAGGAAACAUUAGGCCCCAUUCUCUUUAUAUCAAAUCAGAAGGUGUUUCCUGGUACAUAAUGAGCAUCAUCAAAAUCCAUUAGCCACAGCUAAUUAUCAACAGCAUGUAUGUACACCAAAUGAAACUGACCGCCUGUGCCUCAUGUGGUUUGACAAGUGAUGACAGCAAUAGUGACCAAUAUACUGUCUAUAUGUGAGUUCCUACCGCGCUCUUGCAUUUCUCCCAUUCAUUUUGGUGGAGCUUCCAUGAGAGAUUUUUCCACUGGAUUGUGGCAUCUGCCAAAAGAGAAACAGAAUUAAGCCCUUCUUAAAUUUAUCCUUUAGAGUGAAAAGAUUUGCAAUUAUUAGUGUACAUGAAAGCAUGCAAAAUGUCUCCAUAAUUUACUGGGUUUUCAGCUGCUCUGACAUUGGGGCUGCAUCUGGACAUGCACAGCUCAGGUUUAUAGAUUUGUACUCAUUUCAAGGCAAAUGAAUGGAUAAAUGUAUUGUGACUGAUUAACCGUUCUUUGUACUCUUAGGAGUGUGUCAUUAUGAACGAUUGUCCACACAACUCAUUACUAUGCCAUUAAGCCUUGUGAAUUAUUGCUGCUAACAAUGCUCUUCCAAAAUGAUGGACUGCACUUCCAUUGACUUUAUGGAGCAGAUAUCUUAUUUACAUUAUACAUAUUUAUUAAAAUGAAAAUUGCUGCUGUAUUAUAAUCUGCACUACUUUGCUUUCAGGCUGACUUCUCUAAUUAUGCAUUUUUGAAACCACUUUCAAAGCAGCAACAGUCUUCCCUUUGUAUGAAUCCGUUUGUAAUGGAUUUAAUACUUAUAUUGGGUGACUUUUAACAUAUUUGAAAAGGCGGGGGCCUCAAAACUGCAAUUCCCCUCUGCUCAAAGGCACAAACCCUUUUUGAGUUUAGCCCAGUCUUUUACCACUGAAAAUAGGCUCACACCCCACCUCAUCUGCUCCACAAACCUUGGCAUAUCCAAGGGAAAAGUAUUCCUUAUAUGGGGGCGGGGGGGGGGACUGUGGAGGGCGUAAAAUUAGUCCAGAGGAUCUCCAAAGGGCCUCUCAUUGACAGCAAGUGGCAUGCUCCAGGUAUUACUUCCUACCAACCAUAGAAUUUGACUGCAGGCCCCCUGAUUUUGGGCAGCAGACAACAUCAUUUGCCCCUGGAAAAAGCCCCCCCAGGCCUUUCCUCGCCUGCUUUCCUCUCUUGCCCCCUCCUGCAGGGCCUGUUGCUUUUGUCUUGAGGAACAGGGAAACUGAUAAGGUGGGCAGAGGAGGAACUAGUGUGGGUUUGAGAAAGGUGGUGGGACUGCUAAAGUUUUCAAGCUAAGCACUUAGGUUGAGGAACACUGAUGUGUUUGGGUGUUGGUUUUUUAGGGUUUGACGUAACGGCCAAUCAGUGCAGCCCAGGUGUUUGGGCAAGUAAGCAGGUCCAUCCAUCCCUCCUGUAGGUUUCCAUUCCAAGCACUGGGGAGACUCAGGUUCAAAUCCCCACACAGAGGUCAAUUUUACUGGGUAAUCUUGGCCACUAUCUCCUAGCCUAACUUACCUCACAGUAUUGUUGUGGGGAUAAAAUGGGUAUGAGAAGAAGCUUGCAUGCUCCUCUGACCUUGGAGAAAGGGGGAGACUAAAAUGUAAAACGAAACAAAAAACAAAACACUUGAUGUUGAGUAAUUAACAUGCAUUGCAUGAACCGCUCUAAUGUGCUCACUAUCGCCCGCCCGCCACUGCCCCAAGUGGUACAGUACUUUCUAUGAUUUCUUGCAUGUUUGCAUUUGCUUGCUUCAGCUUAAACCAACAGCUGAGGAGAAUAAGUGUGGUGCAUCUUUAACAAUUUAAUGGCCUAAAUACAUUAUGAAUAGUAGCAAGCAUGAUGGGGAAACUGUUUAGGCUCAGAAUGCAGUCCUUCUCGCUAAUAAACAGCACUGGUUGUUUUCCAUUUCUUUAGUUCUUUCAAAUACAACUCUUGUUGUUCUCACAUUUUACCCAGAUGCAGUUUAAAAUAAAUGACAGAAAACCAAGUUGGUUUUGAUCACGUUGGGUGUUGUAAUCAAAGACUUUGCACAUUAUGAACCAAUGAAUUAAAAGCUAUUAAAAACUCCACAUUAUCAAGAAUUUCUUUAAAAGCACCAAACUGUUUCAAGAAAAAUGGGAACAUGAAGAUUUCACUGAAAAGUUUAUAAUUAUAUAGGUGCCAACGUGAAGCCAAGGCCAGCCGGCCUAGAACACAGUUGUGCCUGAAGUAUGAAAUGAAAUAAAAAUGAUGUCUUCCCCUCCCAUAUUUUAACACAGGACACAGUAAGACAUUGUCCCGCAUAAGCCCUAAAGAAUAUUUUACUAGAUUAUUUUUUCAGGAUCAAAUCUACACAAAUCCAAAAUCUGAUGCCUGAGGCAGCUCCUUUGCCUUGUAAGAUUGUGGAUGGGCAGAACUUUUGAGUGCUGAGUGUGGACAUGAACCAAAUAGUUGAACAACCCACAUCUCUCAGGGUAAUGUUGAUGGGGAGAAGAGAGCGCAGAUUUGUAGAGCCUCAUCAAGCCAAGGUGGCUAUUUUUACAACCAGAAAAAUUAGGCUUGUCACAGGGAUUGCAGACUCAUGUGAACAUUUUCACUCAUUCAUCAAAUAUAAUCAGUUAUGGGUACUUGAGUUGGGAAGAGAACAAGGCCUAUUCUUCUGAAGCACCAUUUUAAUGCACUCACCAACCAACCCUCUGGUUACCUGCAAAGGGCCCUCUUUUUUAGCAACAAAUUAAUCCGAAAGUAGAUCACAUUGAGCAAGUGGAAAGCAUACUGUUCUGUGUCCUGUACUCAAGUAACUAUACUUCUGUCAGCUAACUCUUACAGGCAACGUUUACAGUAUAGAAUUUCCUACUUUGAGGUAAUUUGGGGCCAAACUAGUCAUAAAGGUAAACUGGGUCUUUGAAUCUUACAUGCAGGUUUUUUGUGUUGUUGUUUUUUUACAAAAAACACAAUUAGUAUCAGCUAACACGUUGAUUCAACACAGUCGUAGAAUGUCUGAAAAAAGGAACGCGUUAACAGACUCCCUUGGGGCAGAAAAAACAUGGUUUGAAGUGACAGUGGAAAAUAUGAAAACUCUGCCUAUGGUCAUUCAUCUGUAUCAGCUCAUUCACACACACAAAAACAUUGCUUAUUGACAAUGAGGGGUGGCUAACACCCCAGAGGACAGGAUCACACUUCAAAACGACCUUGACAGAUUAGAGAACUGGGCAAAAACAAACAAGAUGAAUUUUAACAGGGAGAAAUGUAAAGUAUUGCACUUGGGCAAAAAAAAUUGAGAGGCACAAAUACAAGUUGGGUGACACCUGGCUUGAGAGCAGUACAUGUGAAAAGGAUCUAGGAGUCUUGGUUGACCACAAACUUGACAUGAGCCAACAGUGUGACGCGGCAGCUAAAAAAGCCAAUGCAAUUCUGGGCUGCAUCAAUAGGAGUAUAGCAUCUAGAUCAAGGGAAGUAAUAGUGCCACUGUAUUCUGCUCUGGUCAGACCUCACCUGGAGUACUGUGUCCAGUUCUGGGCACCACAGUUCAAGAAGGACACUGACAAACUGGAACGUGUCCAGAGGAGGGCAACCAAAAUGGUCAAAGGCCUGGAAACGAUGCCUUAUGAGGAACGGCUAAGGGAGCUGGGCAUGUUUAGCCUGGAGAAGAGGAGGUUAAGGGGUGAUAUGAUAGCCAUGUUCAAAUAUAUAAAAGGAUGUCACAUAGAGGAGGGAGAAAGGUUGUUUUCUGCUGCUCCAGAGAAGCGGACACGGAGCAAUGGAUCCAAACUACAAGAAAGAAGAUUCCACCUAAACAUUAGGAAGAACUUCCUGACAGUAAGAGCUGUUUGACAGUGGAACUUGCUGCCAAGGAGUGUGGUGGAGUCUCCUUCUUUGGAGGUCUUUAAGCAGAGGCUUGACAACCAUAUGUCAGGAGUGCUCUGAUGGUGUUUCCUGCUUGGCAGGGGGUUGGACUCGAUGGCCCUUGUGGUCUCUUCCAGCUCUAUGAUUCUAUGAUUCUAUGAUUAAUUACAAUCAGUGAGCAAUAUGCACACACGUGAGGCGCCCUAGCCCUAAGGUGUCUCCCUCUUCUCGUGGAACUACUGAACUUGGAAAGGACUUUGGAGGUCAUUUAGGUAAUUAAAAUCUUUCUAUGUUUUUAAGUAUGGUUGUGAUUUUUUCCUAAAUUUAUUGUUUUAUCUAAUCAUUUUGUUUUUUUACAAUCAAGUGAUAUAAAUCUUAGAGGAAGAGGGGAAUGUAGGUCCAAGUCCCUGCCUAAUGUAGGAUUAGAGAUAAAACAGAGAUUACAGAAAGGUACAAUGGCUCUGCAAUAUCACCAAAUGAUGAUAUUUGGCCAACAUGUUCUUCUGCUUGUUCUCUAGCUGUUGUCCAAACAGCCUCCCUGUAAACCAGGGAGAUGCCUGGGCUCUGGUAAGUGAAAGAAAAUGCAUACAAGCCGGAAAGUCACAAUGGCUUUGACAGAACAGCUAGUGACAUUAGCAAAAGCAUUCUCUGGGUCAGGUUAACCAGAAAUGUCAUAAAGACCAUCACCCUUCAGGUUACUUCUGAGUAGCUAAGAAGCUCAUGGUCAUUGGUGAAUUGGUCACUGGUGAAUUCCUUUUCUGAUUUUCAGAAUGUAAACUGUAUUUUCUGUACAGCACCACAACUCCAUCUUGACCAACCAACCACACACUUAGAUUUCUGGUCAAUCUUAGCAAGGGAAGACAACCCACCUCAAAGAAGAUAUUUAAGGGAACUAGGUAAUACGGUGAAGGUAAAGGACCCCUGGAUGGUUAAGUCCAGUCAAAGACGACUAUGGGGUGUGACGCUCAUCUCGCUUUUAAGGUCAAGGGAGCCGGCGUUUGUCCACAGACAGCUUUCUGGGGUCAUGUGGCCAGCAGGACUAAACUGCUACUGGUGCAUGGAGGGCCAUGACGAGUGCCAGAGCGCAUGGAAAUGCCAUUUACCUUCCUGCCGCACCAAGUAUUUAUCUACUUGCGCUGGUAUGUUUUUGAACUGCUGGGUUGGCAGAAGCUGGAAGAGAGCAACAGGAGCUCACCCUGUUACAGGGAUUCAAACCACCGACCUUCUGAUCAGCAAGCCCAAGAGCAGGUUUACCUCGCCUGUGCCAGUUCACUCCAGCAGAGAUCCCUCUGUUGGCUGGAUCGCGCACGUGAUUUCCGGUGCCUGCGUCUGCGCAGACGCAAUUUCCAGUGCCGCAGAAGCAAGUCCCUGCGCUGCGCUGCGCUGCGCUGCGCUGCGCUGCGCUGCACCGGUUUAGUGCACUGUGCGGGGACUCAUCGAGCGGGUGGGUCGGCUGGCAAGCGGCUCGUGGGCCGGUUAAACGACCUCCGUGGGCUGCUUGUGGCCCAUGGGCCUUAGGUUGCCGACCCCUGCCCAAGAGGGUCAGUGGUUUAGUCCAGGAGUCAGCAACCUUUUUCAGCUGUGGGCCGGUCCACCGUCCCUCAGACCAUGUGGGGGGCCAGACUAUAUUUCUUUGGGGGAAAUGAACCAAUUCCUAUGCCCCACAAAUAACCCAGAGGUGCAUCUUAAAUAAACGGACACAUUCUACUCAUGUAAAAACACGCUGAUUCCCUGGCCAUCCGUGGGCCAGAUUGAGAAGGCGGUUGGGCCGCAUCUGGCCCCCGGGCCUUAGGUUGCCUACCCCUGGCUUAGACCAUAGCGCCACCUGUGGCCCAUCUAAGGGAACUAUGAAGCUGUCACUGAAGUGGCUUGGCUAUUCAGUUCUGCAGUUCUCUAAAGAUCUGGGGGAGUCCAGUUCUAGCUAAAUAUACAGGUACAGAUACCCAAAGAAAUCAGGUCAACUUCAGGCCAUUUCACAUAAUAAAUUUUGCAGCAGAAACAUCACUCUUUGUGUUGGGAUGGGGACCAUUUCUUUUGUGAUGUUUGAAUGAUCUCAUGAGCCGCUCUUCAGCUUUGAUGGUGAAGAAGGUUCAUAGCCUGGGUGACCACAGGAGAGGCACUGAAAUGCAGUGAGAGAGCUUUGAAGUUGGUUGCAGCAGCAGUGCAAACCUCUCUCUCUUUCUCUCUUCCAUUAAUAUAUAUAGAACAACCUAUGCAUAAGGCUAUGAAACCAGGUGCCUCUCUAAAGUAGAUUUUACUUCAGAAUUCCACAAAUAGUUUUUCUUUCACACACAGCUGCCAAGGACUCUCAGAUUUUAGGCAAGUGAUGAAAACUCAACUGAUAAAAAUUAUAUGCCCACUUCGGCAUAUAAUAGUUACCUAUAUUCGUUUUAAACUGUUUUCUGAUUUGAUAUGUAUUUUAAUGAUAAUCAUUUCAUGUAUAUUUGUUUUAUAAUGGUUGUGUAGGUUUUAGUUGUGCUUUAUCUACAGUUUUAUUAUGUACACUUAGAGACCACUCUUUGCUUAAGCAGUUUAUAAAUCUGUCAAAAUAAAUAAAAUAAAUGCACAAGGCAAAAAAUACAAAUAAUUCUCACCAUGGUGGCAAAUAUAAUAAUAAACGAAAGGGUAUGCCCUGCAAAAUUGUACAUGUGAAAACAAGAACAUUUGAUUAUCACUUUAAGUACCCCUCUCUGAAUGUCACAUUAGGCUUUGGCCCACAAUUGUGUCAAUGUUCUCAAGUAAGAGGUGCACUAUUACAUUUAAUAAAGAAACCAGGAGUUCUUGGGGAUGAAUCUGAAUUUGAAAUCUUAUUGGUAUUAGAAAACAAAAAGAGUUUAAUUGGCAAAAAUUAUUCUACAAUCACAAAUCUGGAUAAUAAAAUUGAAAGGCUUAUGAUGAAAUGAGAUACAGAGUUACAGCAGGAUGUAAAUAAAGCAGAGUGGAAAUAGAUUUGGCCUAAAAUUGCACCACAAAUUAUGUCAAUAGAGAUAAUAUAUCAAUAGAUAUAUUGAUAUAUAUCAAUAUAUCAAUAGAUAUAUUUAAAAAGGAUUUUUUAAAAAAAUGAUCGGAUAUCAGUAGUAUUUGACCCCAUUCACUAAGAUACAUGGGUAACGUGCAACUUACAUACAAUAACUUGCAUGCAUUUAGCUUUAUGCACAUGGCAAAAAAAUUUUUAAAAAAAAUUAAAAGGAGGUGGAAUGUGGCAUCCAGGAAGAUUUUGGCUAUCCCACCCACCACUGAACCCUGUGUGUUUUGACUACACACAGUUUUGCCUUUUUGUUCUAUUCCCGGAAUGUAUCCCCCACAUAAAUUGAGAGUUGCCUAUAUUCAGUAGCUCAGGGUAGGAGAUGCAGUAGGUACACUGUAGAUUUUUUACACAUAUUUUGGAAUUGCUCAGCUAUUCAAAUCUAUUGAGCCACAAUUUGAAAUAUUAUCUCUGAAAUGAUCUGAUAUUCACUUUCCAAUGACUCAAAAAUAUUAUUACCAGUGGGGGUUUUUGAGGGGGGAGGUAGGAAGGUAGACUCAAUGCCUGAAUUCCCUUCCAAUUCUUGGAAUAGCCAAGCUACCUUCCUGGUGAAGUGGUGGGUCAUUAAAGGGAACAAAGGAAGUGGAUCUGUGCAGGAGGACAAAUAUGUGUGUGGCCCCUUCCUCAACUCGUGGGUAGUUAGAAGGACAACGGCAGAGCUGAGAACAGAGGGUUCUGUUGAAAAAGCAGCAGACUGCGAAGCCGGAGAGAGAGAGAGAGAUGCCUGGUUUCUUUUUUCUUUUUUUAUAAUUAAUAUUUAUUAAAGUUUCAGAAAGAAUAAAAUCACAUUAAUAAACAAGAAAAUUUUAACAAAAACAAAGAAAAAUACACCAUACAAAAUACAAAGUACAAAACAGAAAAAAGUAAAAAAAAGAAGAAAGGAAAAAAAAGAAAAAACAGUUAAAAAUAGUUCCGUCCUUUCAUAACCUCUUUUAGAUUUACUUGUUUCCCGGACUUCCUCAUACCUCCCUCUUUUGUAUUCCAAUUCAGUUUGUAAGCCCAGCAAUUUCUUUCUCUCCUUUUUAAUUCCAGUCCUAAAUCUUAAUAUGACAUUAGAUUUUUACCUAUUUGAACCAAUUUUUCCAUUUCUCUUAGUCUUUUUGGUCCUAAUCCUUAAUCUUGAUAUAUUUAUAGCUUUAAAACCUGUUCAGCUAGAAGCCACUUAACUUCAAUCCAACAUCACUCUAACAUUCAUUGAUUUUGCAAUGUUUCUGUAAAUAAUCUUUAAAUUUCUUCCAAUCUUCUUCCACUGACUCUUCUCCCUGGUCACGGAUUCUGCCAGUCAUUUCCGCCAAUUCCAUAUAGUCCAUAAGUUUCAUCUGCCAUUCCUCCAGCGUGGGAAGUUCUUGUAUCUUCCAAUACUUUGUGAUAAGUAUUCUUGCUGCUGUUGUAGCGUACAUAAAGAAAGUUCUGUCCUUCUUUAACACCGAUUGGUCGACUAUGCCCAGGAGAAAGGCCUCUGGUUUCUUCAAGAAGGUAUAUUUAGAUACCUUUUUUAAUUCAUUAUAAAUCAUCUCCCAGAAAGCCUUAAUCCUUGGGCACGUCCACCAAAGGUGAAAGAAUGUACCUUCAGUUUCUUUACAUUUCCAACAUUUAUUAUUGGGCAAAUGGUAGAUUUUUGCAAGCUUGACUGGGGUUAUGUACCACCUGUAUAUCAUUUUCAUAAUAUUCUCUCUUAGGGCAUAACAUGCCGUAAACUUCAUACCUGUGGUCCAUAACUGUUCCCAGUCAGCAAACAUAAUAUUAUGUCCAACAUCUUGUGCCCAUUUAAUCAUAGCAGAUUUCACCAUUUCAUCCUGAGUAUUCCAUUUCAGCAGCAAGUUAUACAUUCUUGACAAAUUCUUAGUUUUGGGUUCUAACAGUUCUGUUUCUAAUUUUGAUUUUUCCACCUGGAAGCCAAUUUUCUUGUCCAAAUUGUAUGCCUCCAUUAUCUGAUAAUAAUGAAGCCAGUCUUGCACUUUAUUUUUUAGUUUUUCAAAACUCUGCAGUUUCAAUCUAUCUCCAUCUUGUUCUAAAAUUUCCCAAUAUUUCGGCCAUUUGACCUCCAUAUUGAGCUUUUUCAAGGCUUUCGCUUCCAUCGGUGAGAGAGAUGCCUGGUUUCUGUUUGACUCCAAGGCUGCGACUAUGGGAGAAGCAAGACCCUCAUGGGGUGCUAAUGCUGUGAACCCCUCCAUCGUAGGCUCAGGUUGUAUAUACCGUAUUUUUCGCCCUAUAGGGCGCACCGGCCCAUAGGGUGCACCUAGUUUUCAGGGGGGGAAAUCAAGGGAAAAAAUAUGAUCCCCCCCCGCAGCUCUGCGUGCAGCCUGUCCGCUACUCCAAGACCUUCUCCCUGCUUUUGCGGGAGGUGGUGGAAUUCCCCCACCUCCCGCAAAAGCCCACAGGAGCCGCGCGUGACUCCUGCGGGCUUUUCGACCAGGAGGGAGAAGGGACUGAAACGGCCAGUCAGUCCCUUGUCCCUCCUCGGGGAAAAGCCCCCAAGAGCGGUGCGCUCUUUAAAGGGUGCGCGGCAUCCUGCAGGCUUUUCUACGAGGUGGGGGAAUUCGCCCACCUCGUAGAAAAGCCAGCAGAAGCCGCACAGCCUUUAAAGAGCGCACGGCUUUUGCCUGCUUUUGUGGGAGGUGGGGGAAUUCCCCCACCUCCUGCAAAAGCACGCAGGAGGGAGAAGGGGAAUUCCACCUUCCCGCUGACCCCCAAGCUUGUGGGGCUGGCGGUGGGGGGAAGCGCUGCUUUCCCCCACCACCAGCCUCAAAGAGCAGACUCUCCUGGCUUCAGCAAAGUAACGCGAAGCCUCCGGAGCGCAGGCUUGGGAAGCUUCGUUUUGCUAUCGCUGAAGCCAAGGAGCCUGCAUUCGCCCCACAGGACGCACACACAUUUCCCCUUCAUUUUUGGAGGGGAAAAAGUGCGUCCUAUAGGGCAAAAAAUACGGUAUGUGUAAAUAAACCAUAUAUCAUAAAAGCACCACUGUCCCUUGUUCCAAAGGAAGCACAAACCCUGGGAAAGCCCUUGAAGCCCCUGGACUCUUGCAUCGCGGGGGGGGGGGCUGCAACAAGAUUGGGAAGAACACAUUGAGCAUUGAGCAUUCAGGAGCUCUAAAAGUUCUCAUUCCUGCAGCAGAACUAACCCUGAAGUUUGAAAGCAUUAGAAAAGUAACAUGAAAAUAGCACAAACAGUCUACACGCUUGGAGAAAUGUUUUUAUUCUCCUAUCCUAAAACAUGCACUCUGCAACCUUCCAAUGGCCCAGUACUAGCAAGAUUAAUGCCUGGGCCAGUGACAACUUUUGUUUCUGUAUUUUAGCAGUGACUGCAACUAAACCUUGCUGUUAACACCUCCAUUCCCAGAAGACUGUAGGCUUUGUAAAUAUGCUGCAGUGACUGACCCCCAUUGAUUUGCUUUUGGUGUUAAGUUCCCCAAGAGUUAAAGUGUUAUGGAGAAAAUAAAUGAACUUCAGCUAAUUUGUUUUUCCAUUGCCAGUAGGCAUUACUGGAAAAGUCUAUGGAGGAGAUUAAAGUGAUACGGUUUGGAAGGAGAGUGUAAAUGUAACAAGCCGCAUUCCUCCAACUCAAGAGAUUAAGGUUGGGUUACAACACACAUUUACUUAGGAGUAAGUCACCACUGUAUUCCAUACGAUUGGCUUCCAAAUAAACAUACAUGGGACUCAGCUUCCCCAAAAAUCAAACUACACACAGCAGUGUCCAACUAAACGUAAGCAUUUUAAGUCCGAUUGAUUUCAAUGGGAAAGAUUUAAGCAUAUGUUUAACUCCUGUAUUGAAAUAAACUUAAUUUUAAACUUAAUGAACUUCCGUGUGUUAAACUUGUUAAAAUGUUUUUGCAUUUUUGAAUAUGAAGAUUGCAUGUUUCCUCUACAAAUAAAAAUACUCGAUUCCUCCCUCUGGACCUACCAACCACCCUUAGUUACUGAAUAUCACAAUUAUUUGCUCUCACAAUUAAGCUACUGAGUAAUAUGAAUCUUCUAUUAUAUCAUGGUUGAAUUUGAUUAUGUUUUGGGGUGGUUUUGUUAGUUGCAUCAAAAUGCACAUUUUGAACAGAAGAAAUACAUUUUAAGAGGGGACAUUAUAUGUUUAUUAUAAACGUGUGAAAAUUAAGGAGAAGGGAAACAGUGAAAGGUAAGGUGGAGUAGAUGUGUUAAAUUGUGCCAAAUCAGAUUUUAUCUGUUGCAUUUUGGGUUCAUUUUGUAAGCUGCUUUUGUGAAGAAUUUCCUUGAAGAAUGGAUUAGAAAUCUAUCAAUCAAUUCCUCUUACAUACUGGAAGCAUAUUAUUUUACCACAUGGACCGCACAUUUGCUCACACACCUGCACCCCAUGUGUAGGAAAAUCCUCCUUACUCACUCCUCCCUGAAUUGUGUCCCUCUGCCUGCUUUUGACUAGGCACCUUGCCUCUGACUCUCACCUGGGACUAAUUUAGACUGGUGAGUUAUAACAUUAUAAAUGUGUUAAUAAAAUGUGACACCAGGGGGCGCUGUACAGCAUAUUUUUUUAGAUCAGUGUAGAUCCCGCCCCAGUUGACAGCUUCCUUACUCUUUAAUUCUUAGGAUGCUGACCCUUGGAGAACCCAAUGGCAGAGAAGCUAAGGACAAGCAAUAGAGGGAGGCUGCAGGGGCCAACAUUUGCCUUUUCAAACUGCCUCUUCAAGCAUCUGACAAAAAGGGUGGAGUGAGGCGGCUCUUUUGCUGAGCUGCUGCAUCUGGCCCCUACACGCUGCCGCUGCACCAAGCCUCCACCUGGUUUAACUAG